rnacentral:rRNA from 1 species
GUGGAUAACCUGCCGUAUACCGGGGGAUGACUCUUAGAAAUAGGUGCUAAUACCGCAUGAGCGCACAGCUCCGCAUGGGGCGGUGUGAAAAACUCCGGUGGUAUACGAUGGAUCCGCGUCUGAUUAGCCAGUUGGCGGGGUAACGGCCCACCAAAGCGACGAUCAGUAGCCGGCCUGAGAGGGUGAACGGCCACAUUGGGACUGAGACACGGCCCAGACUCCUACGGGAGGCAGCAGUGGGGAAUAUUGCACAAUGGGGGAAACCCUGAUGCAGCGACGCCGCGUGAGUGAAGAAGUAUCUCGGUAUGUAAAGCUCUAUCAGCAGGAAAGAUAAUGACGGUACCUGACUAAGAAGCCCUGGCUAACUACGUGCCAGCAGCCGCGGUAAUACGUAGGGGGCAAGCGUUAUCCGGAUUUACUGGGUGUAAAGGGAGCGUAGACGGCAGCGCAAGUCUGGAGUGAAAUGCCGGGGCCCAACCCCGGAACUGCUUUGGAAACUGUGCGGCUCGAGUGCGGGAGAGGUAGGCGGAAUUCCUAGUGUAGCGGUGAAAUGCGUAGAUAUUAGGAGGAACACCAGUGGCGAAGGCGGCUUACUGGACCGUAA